AGUAUUACUGUGAGAAUCAGUAAUAAGCAUGUGGGGCUUAUGUCUUAUCAAAAGGGUGGCCAACUUUUAGAUAGCAUUAGUGCGGACGUUAAAAUCAUGC
ncrna:unclassified sequences Hatchet ribozyme sequence